rnacentral:rRNA from 1 species
AACGAACGCUGGCGGCAGGCCUAAUACAUGCAAGUCGAACGGUCUUUUCUAUGGAAGCUUGCUUCCACUGAGAAGAUAGUAGCGAACGGGUGAGUAACACGUGGGUAACCUGCCCAUAAGAGGGGGAUAACAUCCGGAAACGGGUGCUAAUACCGCAUAGUUUUCUUGAUCGCAUGAUCGGGAAAGGAAAGACGGCCUUUGUGCUGUCGCUUAUGGAUGGACCCGCGGCGUAUUAGUUAGUUGGUGAGGUAACGGCUCACCAAGACGAUGAUACGUAGCCGACCUGAGAGGGUGAUCGGCCACAUUGGGACUGAGACACGGCCCAAACUCCUACGGGAGGCAGCAGUAGGGAAUCUUCCGCAAUGGACGAAAGUCUGACGGAGCAACGCCGCGUGAGUGAAGAAGGUUUUCGGAUCGUAAAACUCUGUUGUCAGAGAAGAACAAGUUGGAGAGUAACUGCUCCAGCCUUGACGGUAUCUGACCAGAAAGCCACGGCUAACUACGUGCCAGCAGCCGCCGCCGUAA